rnacentral:sRNA from 1 species
AGCACCUACUUCAGAAAGGUGUUGCAAGGAUUGAAUAAGUUAAUUCAUGUAAAGUUCUAAGAACUGGCACAUAAAAAAUGUUGAUUAAUAUUAGCUAUUACUAUAAAUUAUUUUUAAAGCUUCUUAUCCUUUGAUGUUUUCAAAAAUGAAUACCUAAUUUCAGAGGGAUUGUAUGUGAAGUCUAUAUUUCACUGUUUUUAAAUGUUUCCCUGCCUCCCCCACCCUGCCUCUGGUUCCACCCUGUCCCGGUCCCUCUUCCUAGUGCUGCCCAGACUGGGUCACCAAACAGGCCUGUCUGACGGAACCCUUGUCACCUUUGUGGAGAAUUCUCUUUGGGCCCUGCCUGGAAGUAAGAGCCACGGAGCCUGCCCAGGCGCCCCUUCUCCUCCUUUCCCCAUGACCUGGGCUUCUGCGUUCCCUGCAGCAGUGGAGAUGUGGUGUGGCUAUCAUGCUUCCCCCGAGCUCUGUGCCUGCUGCCCCAUUCUGCUCAGGAGCCUCUUCCUGCGGGGACCCUCUGGUGCUCUGGCCUCACCUCUGUGGCUCGUCCUCUCUGAUGCCUCCUCCUCCCCAGAGAGGGCGUUCAUCUCUGGUCCCAUGCUCCUCUGUCAGUCUCCACUAGUCAAAGGCAGGGGUGAUGUUUCCCGCCUCCCUGUAAUCCCAGCACCUAGUAGCGCGCCCAGCAAGUGAAUCUCUUUGUCGGGUACUUAAGACAGUGGAUUAAUAUAAAAUAAAAAUAUCCCUUUGGCGAUUCUUUUGGUCACACUGUGUUAUCUCCUCCAGGCAGGAAAAAUACUAUUGUAUUACAAGGCUCGGACCAAAGACAUCCUGAUUCGAUUCACUGCUUGGUGUUGUAUUCUUGGGCUCAUUUCUGUUGCUCUGACGAAGGUUUCUGAAAAUGAAGGCUUUAUUCCAGUAAACAAAAAUCUCUGGUCCCUUUCGUAUGUCACUACGCUCAGUUCUUUUGCCUUCUUCAUUCUGCUGGUCCUGUACCCAGUUGUGGAUGUGAAGGGGCUGUGGACAGGAACCCCAUUCUUUUAUCCAGGAAUGAAUUCCAUUCUGGUAUACGUCGGCCACGAGGUGUUUGAGAACUACUUCCCCUUUCAGUGGAAGCUGAAGGACAACCAGUCCCACAAGGAGCACCUGACUCAGAACAUCGUCGCCACUGCCCUCUGGGUGCUCAUUGCCUACAUCCUCUAUAGAAAGAAGAUUUUUUGGAAAAUCUGAUGGCUCCCACUGAGAUGUGCUGCUGGAAGACUCUAGUAGGCCUGCAGGGAGGACUGAAGCAGCCUUCGUUAAAGGGAAGCAUUCAUUAGGAAAUCGACUGGCUGCGUGUUUACAGACUCUGGGGGAAGACACUGAUGUCCUCAAACUGGUUAACUGAGACACGGCUGGCCAGAACUCUGCCUGUCUAUUUGUGACUUACAGAUUUGAAAUGUAAUUGUCUUUUUUCCUCCAUCUUCUGUGGAAAUGGAUGUCUUUGGAACUUCAUUCCAAGGAGAUAAGCUUUAACUUU